GGGUUUGAUUAUGGCUCAGGAUGAACGCUGGCGGCGUGCUUAACACAUGCAAGUCGAACGAACCUUCGGGUUAGUGGCGGACGGGUGAGUAACGCGUGAGAAUCUGCCCUCAGGAGGGGGAUAACAGCUGGAAACGGCUGCUAAUACCCCAUAUGCCGCGAGGUGAAAUGAAUUUCGCCUGAGGAUGAGCUCGCGUCUGAUUAGCUAGUUGGUGUGGGUAAUGGCUCACCAAGGCAUCGAUCAGUAGCUGGUCUGAGAGGAUGAUCAGCCACACUGGGACUGAGACACGGCCCAGACUCCUACGGGAGGCAGCAGUGGGGAAUUUUCCGCAAUGGGCGAAAGCCUGACGGAGCAACGCCGCGUGAGGGAUGAAGGCCUCUGAGCUGUAAACCUCUUUUAUCAAGGAAGAAGAUCUGACGGUACUUGAUGAAUAAGCCACGGCUAAUUCCGUGC
rnacentral:rRNA from 1 species